rnacentral:rRNA from 1 species
CAGCGGAGCGUGUGGUUUAAUUCGAUGCAACGCGAAGAACCUUUACCAGGGUUUGACAUGCUUAAAGUAGGAACUCGAAAGAGGGACGACCUGUAUCCAGUCAGGAGUUUUGCACAGGUGCUGCAUGGCUGUCGUCAGCUCGUGCCGUGAGGUGUUAGGUUAAGUCCUGCAACGAGCGCAACCCUCGUCGCUAGUUGUUUUCUCUAGCGAUACUGCCCGUAUAACGUGGAGGAAGGUGGGGAUGACGUCAAGUCAGCAUGGCCCUUACAUCCUGGGCUACACACACGCUACAAUGGGUGAUACAACAGGUUGCAAUAGAGUAAUCUGGAGCCAAUCCCUAAAAUCAUCCUCAGUACGGAUUGCAGGCUGCAACUGCCUGCAUGAAGUUGGAGUUGCUAGUAAACGCAGGUCAGCACACUGCGUUGAAUACGUUCUCGGGCCUU